GAUAGUGUAAGAAAACACACACAUAUUCCCAAACUAUAUCUAUUCAUUAGCAUUUUAAGAUACUAGUUCGUCUAGAUGCAAUCGUUUUUUUUUUGGGGGGGGGGGGGGGGCAAAGGUCUAGAUGCAUAUAUACACGUAUUCAUAACGUACGCUUUUUAUGUACACAUUUUAUGUGCAAUAUUUAUGCACAUGGUCAUAUGUAGAUGUAGAAUAAUGUAUAUUAGCAUACACCAAAAAGUAUUAACAUGGAUUUACAUAAAACAACAUUAGCUAGAAUCCAUAUAUACUUAUUCUUGGGAGAAAAAUAGAAAAGUACAAACAAAACAAAUCACAACUAAAAUAUGCAUACAAUCAUAGAUACUUGUAGUAAACGUAUGCGCAUAU
rnacentral:lncRNA from 1 species